UGCCAAACAAGUUCUCCUCCUGCUC
rnacentral:piRNA from 1 species